rnacentral:lncRNA from 1 species
GGGGCCGAAGCCGGUUGCCAGGGUGUCGCGGAGCGGCUGGGAAGGAGGGGCUGGGAAUCUUGGAGCCCCUUGGCCCGCGGGGAAAGCGGGUGACCCGCCCUGCAAGUGGGAUGCCCCCUUCGGCCUUCUGGAGCGCAGGGAGGCUGUCUCCCCGGCAAGGGUGCCCACUGCAAGCACAGGCGUGAGAAAUGGCCCAGAAAAGAGUGGUCAGGGCAAUGUGUUCUUGGCACGCCCAGCAAGACCUGCCAGAGGGACCUACAGACGAGUGUCUCCCAGCUAUCUUACCAGCGGGGACCUUGAGGUCCAAGUAUCCAGUCCGGUUAGAAAUGGCCGCGGAUCCAACAGGUGCUGGUGAGUGGGAGAAUACCCCUGAGGGAGGAAGAACAGAGGCCGGGAGGGAGCUGAGUGGAUGUAGAUGAGAAAUACCUGGACAGCUGCAAGCUGUAGUCAGUGAUGGGCAACUGGAACCAGAGAUUCCAGAGAGAGGGAGGGAGAAAGAGGGAGGAGAAGGGAGAAUGAGAAAGAGAGGGAGAGAGAAUGGGGGGGAGAAAGAGGGAGAAUGGGGGAGAGAGGUAGGAGCAAGUUCUGGACCACGCCAAGGAUGGAGCUGUGGUCCUGGAACCAGAUGUCCAGGGAAUGGGAUGAAGUGACACUGGCUGGGGCCGAGGCUGCAGACUGCUGGUGGGAGCUGGCAGGACAAUGAGGAUUCUGAACCAGGUGCCUGAGCCUUCUGUGGAUAUGGGGAGUGACUUGGAUGUCUAUAAAUUCCAGAAAUGAUAGGAGGGAUAGAUGAUGGAGGGACUGUAUUUUAGACAAUAAACAAAUUUCAC